rnacentral:rRNA from 1 species
UGGGGAAUAUUGCACAAUGGGGGAAACCCUGAUGCAGCGACGCCGCGUGAACGAAGAAGGUAUUCGUAUCGUAAAGUUCUGUCCUAUGGGAAGAUAAUGACAGUACCAUAGAAGAAAGCUCCGGCUAAAUACGUGCCAGCAGCCGCGGUAAUACGUAUGGAGCGAGCGUUGUCCGGAAUUAUUGGGCGUAAAGGGUACGCAGGCGGUUUAAUAAGUCGAAUGUUAAAGAUCGGGGCUCAACCCCGCAAAGCAUUGGAAACUGAUAAACUUGAGUAGUGGAGAGGAAAGUGGAAUUCCUAGUGUAGUGGUGAAAUACGUAGAUAUUAGGAGGAAUACCAGUAGCGAAGGCGACUUUCUGGACACAAACUGACGCUGAGAUACGAAAGCGUGGGGAGCAAACAGG